UUGCCUUAGUAACGGCGAGUGAAGCGGCAAAAGCUCAAAUUUGAAAUCUAGCACUUUCAGUGUUCGAGUUGUAAUUUGAAGAAGGUAACUUUGGAAUUGGCUCUUGUCUAUGUUCCUUGGAACAGGACGUCACAGAGGGUGAGAAUCCCGUGCGAUGAGAUGUCCAAUUCUAUGUAAAGUGCUUUCGAAGAGUCGAGUUGUUUGGGAAUGCAGCUCUAAGUGGGUGGUAAAUUCCAUCUAAAGCUAAAUAUUGGCGAGAGACCGAUAGCGAACAAGUACAGUGAUGGAAAGAUGAAAAGAACUUUGAAAAGAGAGUGAAAAAGUACGUGAAAUUGUUGAAAGGGAAGGGCUUGAGAUCAGACUUGGUAUUUUGUGUUCCUUAUUCUUUUUGGAUUUGGUUCCUCACAGCUUACCGGGCCAGCAUCGGUUUGGAUGGUAGGAUAAUGACAUUGGAAUGUAGCUUUGCUUCGGUGAAGUGUUAUAGACUUUGUUGAUACUGCCUAUCUAGACCGAGGACUGCGUCUUUGACUAGGAUGCUGGCGUAAUGAUCUUAAGCCGCCCGUCUUGAAACACGGAACCAGAAC
rnacentral:rRNA from 1 species